CAGUCGCCACGGUAAUACGUAGGGUGCAAGCGUUAAUCGGAAUUACUGGGCGUAAAGCGUGCGCAGGCGGUUAUAUAAGACAGAUGUGAAAUCCCCGGGCUCAACCUGGAACUGCAUUUGUGACUGUAUAGCUAGAGUACGGCAGAGGGGGAUGGAAUUCCGCGUGUAGCAGUGAAAUGCGUAGAUAUGCGGAGGAACACCGAUGGCGAAGGCAAUCCCCUGGGCCUGUACUGACGCUCAUGCACGAAAGCGUGGGGAGCAAACAGGAUUAGAUACCCGUGUAGUCCCUGUCUCUUAUACC
rnacentral:rRNA from 1 species